UAUAGUUGACAAAAAACGUGAAGUGCAGACAAUUAAACUAAAUAGUUUUUGUCGUAAAAGACGCUGAUUGUUCGUUAUCAUUUAGGAAACCUUAAAACCCAUCUGGAUUUUUGCAAGAAAUGUAUUUUAGACGGUCGUCAAAGUUGAGAAAGAUGAAGUAUCUGAACCCUAAUUACGGCGGCUGUACAUUUUGUAAGAAACACUUGAGAACUAUUCCGAAGGAUUAUUAGUCUGGUAAAAGUAUGAGCUUCUUUGUUGCUGCCCAACGUACACAUGGAUUUGAUGCAGCCAGCUGAGGGCUUUAACUCUUGUUUAGUUUUUUAUGUUUGCGUAGUUGCUGUCCGAUGUGGCACGUUGUUGAAGCCCUUUCUACAUCAAGUUCAAUUGGCCGCUCCUUGGUGCUGAUGUUGUGUUACCGAAGUUGCAUCAUAUUUUGUUAAAUUGUCAUUGUGACUUGCAGUUUACCUUUUAUAAGUUCAAAAGCAACAAAAACAAAUAUGGGAUGUUAAUGUCAACAAAUAAUAAACAUGUUUCCGGGAUUGGGAAAGGAAAGUGAUGGAUGUUGGAGGGAGGAUAUUUUAAGUUUGGAUAAAAAUUCAGUUAAUCUAUAACCCUACAAACGUAUUCCUACCAAUUAAUCUCCAAACCCCACAAACAUAAACCUUCUAAUCCUCCAAACCCCGAAAACAUACACCUACCAACCCUUAACCCUAUAAACCAAUGUUAAACUUAAACCAUGUAAAAUCUGUAAUUAAUGAAAAAAAUACAUUGUAUAAACUAAA